UUUUGGAAUAAAGAAUUAAAAAAUUCUAAUGUCCACACGUGUAAUAUUUGAAAACUUGAAUACACCGUUAUCUUAAAAUAUCUUUGUCUUGUACACUGGAAAAAUUCACGCACCAAAUACCCAACUGGAAGCUCUUCCUCCAAGCAUUCAUGUUGACCAUUGAAUGCACAAUUAGUUGCGUACCGAGAAGGUGUAUGAGUGAUGUUUAGAUGGAAAGCAAAACUUUCUGCUGGUGGAGCUGUUAAGAAGAGUAAGCCUGAUGGAAUUUGUAUAGACAAACGUGGCAAAGUGAGAAGCUUUAAUCCGAAGAAACUGUCUAGGAAAAAAUGUGGUUCUUUAAGGGGACGAGGAUGGACAUAUGGUUCUGGGUUUAUUGACGGAAUUUUCCCAGCGAUGAGCCCCACUGCUCAGCAGCUUCUGGACAUUCUGCAGAAGGAAGUGGAUCAAAGCAGAAUUAUCACCAAUUAUGCUCCUCAUUGUAGAUUGCAUAUGCUAAUUGGAUGCAUUUUAUUAUGUAUUAAUUUUUUAUUGUUAGGCUCUUAAUGGUCCAAUAUCAACGUAUAGCUAAGAAGUUGGUGUAAAUGUAUAACUGCAUAUACAGAUUGCAGAUUAAGGAUGGAAAGUAAAGGGGCUUUGAAUUCAGUGAUCACCUAAGGUACAUAGCAGUGGGUGAUCUAUCAAGAUAUAGAGAGAAAAUAAAUGGCAGAAGAAGAACAAGUAAUUACAAGAAACAAGAAGGUGGUAUUAAAGAGGUAUCCAAAGGAGUUUCCAAAGAUGACAUGAAUGUGACCUCCUCUGCUACUAUUAAGCUGAAAGUGCCUGAUGGUCAAGGUGGCAUUCUUGUCAAGAAUCUCUACUUGUCAUGAGACCCCUUUCAGCGAAAUCUCAUGCGUUGCGUGUCUGAUUCUGCAGGCAUCGACUUGCCACUCUAUACCACUGACUCUGUAUGUCUAUCUUCAUAUUUCUCUUACAAGCCCAUUUUGGGACAGUUCAGUAACAAAGUUUUUUUAAUUUUGUUUUAUAAGAAUAGGAUCCAUUCUCAAAUUUUUAAGUUUUUUUUAGUAGUUGCAGUGUUUAUCUUUUUCAUUGAGCAACUGAUACAUGUGUGUGUAUAUAUAUAUAUAUAUAUAUGUUGAAAUUUAAAAACUUAUUUGUAAACCUAAUUAGUAGUUCAUAAUUAAAGUAAUAAUAAUAAUAAUAGAUUUGACUGCUAAGCA